GCACCGGGCAGAGGCGCCCAGCUGAGGGGUGGCGGGGCGAUGGGAGCCGCAGAGAGCCUCUGAGCAGGGGAGUGUUUUUAUUUUGGAAACAUCGCCCGAGCUGUGGUGAGGAUAUUGAUUCGGACAAGUGGCAGGGGGCCGCAUUGCAGUGGUUCAGGAGUGAGAUCAGGGUGACAGUGGCCAUGACUGCAGGGGACAGGUCCCACAGACACAGACACGUAGGCGGUGAAGGCGUUAGGACAGGAGCUGGGAUGUGGGGCAAGCAAGGGGGGGCAGGGAUCUGGGCAGAUUCUGGGUAUCUGGCAGCGCAGCCCCGAAACGGAUCACCAGAUUAGAAACACCAGAUAAAAGACCGCGUAGAGGAAAAGAUGUCUGCGGAGCUGAGAAUACGGAUUAUUUUUGGAACUUUGCUCUCAUGCAUCUUCUUUAAAUAUUGAUAACCAACAUUUUUAAGGAGCUUAAUGCGGCGUGCCUGGUUCUGUUCUAAGCACUUCGCGUGCCAUAACGCAUUAAGUCCUCCAGGCAACCCUCUGGAGCACAGAUUUUCUAUCAUCUCCAACAUGAAGAGACAGGCACAGAGAGAAUGCUGUGGGCGGCUUAGAGGAAUAAAUGUGUGAUGAGACCGCGCAGAUAAGAAUCUGCCAGAGCACCGGGAACGGAAGGGAGCGUGUGGAAAGGAGGAAGGAGACCACGGGAAACGUGCUCCGUGCGGACUUGCCAGCGCCUGGGCCUUGGGCUCCCCUGCAUCGUUGGGGCUUCAGCCUCCGUUUCCUGGCCUCUGAGCCGGGCAGCGACUCCCACAUUGGGAGGGGGCUGGGGGGACCAAGUGGGAUGACAGGCCUGUUCACGUGCUCAGUGGGGUUCCUCCCUGGCCGUCUUGUUUCCCCUUGAAAUGCCAGCCUCCUGGGGGCUGUCCCCAGGGCCUCCAGCACGGCCACCUUCCCUUUCUCUCAGGCAGGAUGGAGUCUGACAUCCUCCGGCUUCUCACUCCCUCUCCAUCCCCCGCACAGCAUAUAUUAUGUAUACGCUCCGUAUCCAUGGGGAUGGCUUCCAGGAAUCCCACAGGCUCCAAAAUCUGAGGAUGCUCACACCCUUUAUUUAAAACAGUGCGGUCUUUCCGCACAACCCGA